rnacentral:rRNA from 1 species
UACAGAGGUCCCAAGCGUUGUUCGGAUUCACUGGGCGUAAAGGGCGCGUAGGUGGCGAGGUAAGUCGGAUGUGAAAGCUCGGAGCUCAACUCCGAAAUGGCAUUGGAAACUACCUUGCUCGAGGGUUGGAGGGGGGACUGGAAUACUUGGUGUAGCAGUGAAAUGCGUAGAUAUCAAGUGGAACACCAGUGGCGAAGGCGAGUCCCUGGACAACUCCUGACACUGAGGCACGAAAGCUAGGGGAGCAAACAGG